rfam:Heterocephalus glaber contig170393, whole genome shotgun sequence.
GGUGCGGCAGUAGGAAGUAAAAAAAAAAAAGACUCUAGGGUUGAUUUGGCUGAUCUGGCUGGCUACAGAGGUGUCUGUUUCCUACCCCCACUAUUUCAUGUGUACCUCUCCCAAAGCUGUGCACUCAAUAAAAGAUGACAACCACCCCUGAUAGAGAAGGAUCAUUUUCUCAGUCAAGGGUAUAUGAGUAGCUGUGUUGACCUGCUAGAACCUCCAAACAAGCUCUGUUCUUUCCCCUCCUCCUUUCUUCUUCACUGGUUUAUUGGGGCUUAGGGAAUUUUCCUUUGUUCUUUCUUG